rnacentral:misc_RNA from 1 species
AGGGAUCAUUACCGAGCGUCCCGGCCCCCUAGGGCUGCGGCCUCACCAUCCUUUGCUUAAACUCUCCUUGCGGGGCCCCUCCAGAGGGCCCUUGGACUCGGCCGCCGGGGCAGACCCCCUCCGGGAAAUAGGGGGCGCCCCGCCCUCCGCUCCGGCAGCCGGGCCCGAACCCAAACCUUGAAACGUGUCUUUUUCGGCCCAGCCGAACCAAACACAACCUGCAACGAUGGAUCUCUUGGCUCUG